UCUUUCUUUUCCCCCAAAAAUUAAAAAAAAUCACAAUUUUCAGGUCACACAGAGUGAAGAACGACGCUGCUUCCCCAAAUCUGAAAAUUGUCAAGAAUGAUUCAUAGAUCUAAGAACGACUGCAUCUUCUCCAUAGCUUAUAUUUCUCAAGACCGAUCCUUUACAGAUUGAAGAACGACACAUUUUUCAGUUUCAUGGUUGUUCACCGAUGACCUACGAAAAUCCCUCAGAUUUGUCAUUGUUCAUCAAGGACAGAAUAGAAGGCUUCACUUAAGUAGAUGAUGUCUCAAAGUUUCAUCACAUUGAAAGGAUUUUGUUGGUAUACGGUUUAUAAGGACUUUACCUGUAGCUGCCUCUGUGUAUCUUCCGGAUCCAGUCACAGAUAAUAGUUGCCAAGGCGGGGAGAUGAACUAGUCAGCUCAUCAACAAAUUUUGCAAGAUCAGGUCUCCAAAUCUUUCAAAGAAGAAGUAGUGAACAGGUGCACUCAACUGUUGCCACUGUUCUCUUUCUUUGUCUACAUUUCGACUGUCUUUCAUUAUCAUCUUUAAAACUUUAAGGGGUUUAUUUCUUGUACAGGUAAUUUGUUAAUGAUCUUUGGUGGUAAGUUAAUUUCUUGUUGGUGGAGUUAAUACUGUUCAGUGCAAAUGCAUUUCGUUUCAACUUGGUAAUAAUUUAACAGAUAAGAUAGCUAUUACUUUUUCUAGGUCUCUCGGAGUUUCAAUUGACUUCACAACACACCUUUACAUGAAAUUUUUUACUUUUUAUAUGUCGAUAUACAUAGGCUUCAAAUUAUGAGAACUGUAGUCCUUCUACCUCGUGCCUCACCUUGAAAAAAUCGUGCAUCUUUUCCUUCUUCCUUGCAAUGGUGGCUGCAAACAUGUUUUCUACUUUGGGUACUGGUCUUCAUUUUGCAUUAUGUUCUUGAAAUGCUGGAUGUAGAAUUGGAGCUUUCACUAAUAUGUUUCCUAGUAACUUCAUGUGUAUAUAUUGCUUGUAUACCUAAUUUCCCGUCACAAGAGAGCUCGCGAUCUUUGGAAUCACUGCGCCUUGAAAAAUAUGCAGAGGUGAGUACACUGUUGUGCACUGAAUAUUUUUUAUUUUGGUAUCAACUUUCUCUUGUAGUGGUUUAAUGAUGUCUUCUCAACUGAUAUAUUUGAUAAGUGUGAGAAUAUUCUUAGUCGACUAUCAGAAAAGCAUGGAACAAUUUUUACAUUCUCCAUUGCUUUAUCUUGGACUUUGGCUGGUGUAUCUUCUAGAUUUGGUUUAGAAUUAUUGGAAAAAGUAGCGUCAAUAUUGUGAGUAUCUAUCAUUCAACAAGAUUGUUAAUACGUCUAAUAUUUUUCUUUAUCUUGUGGUUGAAAACUUUAGACAUUGUAGUCUUUUUUAUAUGUUAUCUUCUUCUUAUUCUGUCACCUGGAAAGGAGCAAUAGUGACAUAUGAUACUCGUACAAAUCUGUCAUUUUUUCGUUCAUUUACUGCAGCAGACUAUGUUGCUGCCCAGCGGCUUAGGGAAGACAUGUUUCUUAAGCUAGCUACACUAAAGCAAUCUAACCUAGUCAUGAAAUACUUUCACACUCCAUUGUAGGCAUGUGAAUCCAUUAAAAUAACAUAAUAGGCAAUGGAAUCCAUUAAAAUAAAUAACAUUGCAUUGUUCUCCUCUGUUAUAAGGAGUGAUAUCUAUUUGCAACAAUUUAAAAAAAAAAUCCAUGUUCUUAGUCUUCUUGAGUUCGUAGUUGUUGUGCUCGCCUUAAGUUUGGUUUAUUUAUUUGUUAAUCACCAUGAGUUUGUUUUGUCUAUAUCAGUUGUAGUAGUUUUCUUGUUUUUAGUUAUAGGUUUUGAUCGUGUCAAAGAAAUUAACUCCAUUGUUCCUGUGCUUGUUUUCUAAGUUUAGAUUGAUCAGUUCUCACUCAUAUCAGUAGAUGUAGAUUUAUUCAACAUUGUUAGGGUCGUUUUGUGUUGUGAAUGAUCCCUUUUUUUUCUUUUCUCCAAGAUUUCCUGUUCAUAUUUAUCAAGAGAGUCUUGGACUACAUGUAGAACAUGGAUUUUAUAGAUUUUGUAACAACAGUUGAUUGGAAAAAUGGAUUUUCUUGUAGUUACUUACUAUGACAUCUUAUUAGCAUAUGAAAUACAUGUUUUAAUAGAAACUAAGAGUCAUGUUUUUCAUAACAAUACCACUACAUUGGGAAGUGGCUGGGAAAUCCAAAAUCAAGUGAAGAUUUUAGUACUAAAGUGUAUACUAUAACAAUAUUGUAACAGCUUAUCCCACAAGUGAUAUUUGUCCGUUUUACGCCUAGUCCAACAUGUCUAUAAAAUGUGUCUUUUUUAGAUGUAUUUAUUGAUAUGCUCAGCAUCUUUUUAGUUUUCUAUUAUGUGGAUUUGCCUAGAGUGUCACAAAUACUAUAUUCUAAAAUGUUAUUGCUAGUUGUAUUUUUCAAUGAGGCGGACCUUACUGGAAUGUUCCUAUAGGAAGAAAAGACGGACGAAUAUUAAUAGCUAGUGAAACAACACUACUUCCAAAGCAUACAUUAAACAUUUCUCAACUAAAACAAAGCUUCCAUCAAAGAGGUCUCGCACUAGACAACUUUGUGGCUCUCUUAGUUCAGCAUAAAAAAUUAUCCAAAAAAUUUCACUAGUUAAUUUCAUAAAUGGUUACUCAACUUACUUCUGAUACGACUAUACGUUCUCUUUGGCUCGCAGGUGCAUAUACUCUAGUAUUUACCCAUUGCUAAUCAUUUAUGAACCACACAUUCAACUUCAACGCCAGACGUGACAUUGAUCCUACACUACGUCCAUCGUUUGCAGCAAGCUUUAGUGGCAUAUUUUCACUCAAAAACAGGGCAAAAAAGCAGGAAUCAGCAAUGAUCCUGCACCAACAACAUUUGAUAAUACUCAUUACUGUAAUCCCAUGGGGAGCUGCUAGUAUGAAUCUUGUGUGGUAAUGGAAUCCUCAUGAUGGAAGUUUAUACAGUUCUUCGACCUGGUGGCUACUGGGUGCUUUCUGGCCCUCAGAUCAAUUGGAAGACUAAUUACAAGGCCUGACAAAGCCCUAUGGAGGACCUUCAAGAAGAACAAAGGAAAACUGAAGAGAUUGCCAAACUUCUUUGCUGGCAUUAGAAAUCUGAAAAGGGUGAGACUUCUAUUUGGCAGAAAAGGAUGGAUGUCGACUCAUUCCGUUCUACACAAGAAGAUUCUGAAGCUACACUUCGUAAAUCCAUAGAUGCAGAUGAUGUCUGGACAUUGUGUUUCAAGAGGGUCUCAGUAUGCGGAGAGAUAUCUAGAAGUCUCUAUACUUACAGUUUUGUGAUAUCUGAUAUGGUGGAUAGUUACCAUGUGAAAUUACCAUCCAAACAUGUUGGUGCAAGGUACAAUAAAAUGGAAGCAUGCAUAACACCAAGCAAAGGCAAUGGUGAUGAUGAAGGUCUAAAACCAUUCCUUGAGAGACUUUAUGUUGUUCCUCCAACAAUUUCUAAUAGACUAGUUUCUGCAGUCUCCGUUGAGGCAAAUCUGGAAGACAACAAAAAAUGGAAGAAGCAUGUUAGUGCUUAUAAGAAAAUUAACAAACACAUAGACACAUGAAGGUACUGUAAUAUCAUGAACAUGAAUUCUGGACUGGAGGUUUUGCUGCAGCUCUUCAAUCUCCCAAGUUGUGGGUUAUGAAUGUUAUGCCUACGAUAGCCGAGAAAAAUAUCUUGGGAGUCAUAUAUGAACAUGGGAUUAUCGGAAUUUAUCAUGACUGUACCAUCUUCAGUCUUGACAAUUGCACGGCCACCUGGUGAAGUUGAAGGAAGUAGUUACAACCAUCUUCAGUCUUGACAAUUGCAUUCCAGUUUGUUUUUUAUAAUAACUAUCGAGAAAAUAUCACUGCUAUGGCUCGCAAAUAUGUAUGAAGCAUUGUCGGCUCUGUUCAGAGAGUUGCUAUGGCUAUUGCACCCUCUCAACUCUGCUCGCAGUUGACACCAAAAUCUUUCCCUGGCUCACCGUAAACUGUCACUUUGGGGAGAUGAAUUUGCAGGAGCUAUAAGAAUCAUACUGGUGGAGAAAUGCUACAAGUGAAUUCUCAAGCUAUCAGUGAUGAUGUACGGAAGCAAUUAUACCAUCAUACUGAUUCAAUAAUGUGUUGCACCAUCAAAAUGAAUGUCAGUUUUGGCAUGUUGUUGUUGCAAGAUGAAUUGGAGGCAGAACUUGAAGAAUUAGAAGAGUAGCUGCUUCAACCAGCAGCUACUGUUCCUGCUGCUCCAGUCGAUGUUCCUACAGGGAAGCAACCUACUCAGCCCAUCUUUAGAACCGUACAGGCAUUAUCACAGGUAGCUUACAUAAAGAGACGCUCGUACGCAUGUCAGAAAAAUACUUAAAAUGCUUUCACAUUUCUCCUUGCUAUGGAAACUCAUUUUUGUUGUUGUACUCAUUAUAAAACAUAUGGAUUGAGAACAUUUGCAGGCUGCGUGGAACAUAUUAGCUACCAUAAGCAGGGAAGUGGAGGUGAUCAAAUUUGAAGUGGAUGAUGAAGUGUUUUUGAACUAUUGUAAAA